rnacentral:rRNA from 1 species
UACGUAGGCAGCAAGCGUUGUUCGGAGUUACUGGGCGUAAAGGGUGUGUAGGCGGUCCCCUAAGUUUGGUGUGAAAUCUCCCGGCUCAACUGGGAGGGUGCGCCGAAAACUGGAGGGCUAGAGUACUGGAUGGGAGAGUGGAAUUCCUGGUGUAGCGGUGAAAUGCGUAGAUAUCAGGAGGAACACCUGCGGCGAAGGCGGGUUGCUGGGCUGACACUGACGCUGAAGCGCGAAAGCUAGGGGAGCGAACGGG